AUUGAACGCUGGCGGCAUGCCUUACACAUGCAAGUCGAACGGCAGCACGGGUGCUUGCACCUGGUGGCGAGUGGCGAACGGGUGAGUAAUACAUCGGAACAUGUCCUGUAGUGGGGGAUAGCCCGGCGAAAGCCGGAUUAAUACCGCAUACGAUCUACGGAUGAAAGCGGGGGACCUUCGGGCCUCGCGCUAUAGGGUUGGCCGAUGGCUGAUUAGCUAGUUGGUGGGGUAAAGGCCUACCAAGGCGACGAUCAGUAGCUGGUCGGAGAGGACGACCCGCCACACGGUGACUGAGACACGGCCCAGACUCCUACGGGAGGCAGCAGUGGGGAAUUUUGGACAAGGGGCGAAAGCCUGAUCCAGCAAUGCCGCGUGUGUGAAGAAGGCCUUCGGGUUGUAAAGCACUUUUGUCCGGAAAGAAAUCCUUGGCCCUAAUACGGUCGGGGGAUGACGGUACCGGAAGAAUAAGCACCGGCUAACUACGUG
rnacentral:rRNA from 1 species